rnacentral:rRNA from 2 species
CCGGGUGGUUAUUGCAGGGGGACCACACCCGUUCCCAUCCCGAACACGGCCGUUAAGACCCCUAGCGCCGAUGGUACUGCGUCUUAAGGCGUGGGAGAGUAGGUCGCUGCCCGGU